UACAGGGGGGGCAAGCGUUGUUCGGAAUUACUGGGCGUAAAGGGCUCGUAGGCGGCCUACUAAGUCACACGUGAAAUCCCCAGGCUUAACCUGGGAACUGCGUGUGAUACUGGAUGGCUUGAAUCCGGGAGAGGGAUGCGGAAUUCCAGGUGUAGCGGUGAAAUGCGUAGAUAUCAGGAAGAACACCAAUGGCGAAGGCAGCUCUCUGGGACGGUACUGACGCUGAGACGCGAAAGCGUGGGGAGCGAACAGG
rnacentral:rRNA from 1 species